rnacentral:RNase_P_RNA from 1 species
GCGUUCGGGUAAUCGCUGCAGGGAGCUUUGCAACCUGUAGAGGAAAGUCCAUGCUCGCACGAGCUGAGAUGCUCGUAGUGUUCGUGCCUAGCCAAUAAAUAAGCUAGGGCAGUUGAGGUAACUCGGCUGACGGCCGGAAAAAUGCCUAAGUCUUUAAUGAUAUGGCAUGAGUACCUAUAAAAGUGCCACAGUGACGUAGCCUCAUCAGAAAUGGUGAGGGUGGAACGGGUAAACCCCACGAGCGAGAAACCCAAAUAAUGGUAGGGGCACCUUCUCUGAGGAAUUCAACAAGGAGGAGGACAGAUUGUUUACAAUCUGUAGAUAGAUGAUUACCACCGGAGUACGAGACUUAGGUCGCUUGCAGUACGAAGGCACAAAACAUGGCUUACAGAA